rnacentral:rRNA from 1 species
GGACUACCAGGGUAUCUAAUCCUGUUUGCUCCCCACGCUCUCGCGCCUCAGCGUCAGUAUUUGUCCAGGUAGCCGCCUUCGCCACUGGUGUUCCUUCCGAUCUCUACGCAUUUCACCGCUACACCGGAAAUUCCACUACCCUCUACAAUACUCUAGCCUACCAGUAUGAGAUGCAGUUCCUAGGUUAAGCCCAGGGAUUUCACAUCUCACUUAAUAAACCGCCUACGCGCCCUUUACGCCCAGUAACUCCGAUUAACGCUCGCACCCUCUGUAUUACCGCGGCUGCUGGCAC